rnacentral:rRNA from 1 species
UGCUAGUCGAACGACCCGGACUAUGGCGGGGAGUGGCAGACUGCUCAGUAACACGUAGCUAACCUACCCUCGGGACGGGGAUAACUCCGGGAAACUGGGGCUAAUACCCGAUAGGUGUGGAUUCCUGGAAUGGUGCCAUGCCUAAACGUAAGCACAUCCAUGUUUUGUGUGCACGCCCGAGGAUGGGGCUGCGGCCGAUCAGGCAGUUGGUGAGGUAACGGCUCACCAAACCUUUGACCGGUACGGGCCAUGAGAGUGGUAGCCCGGAGAUGGGCACUGAGACAAGGGCCCAGGCCCUACGGGGCGCAGCAGGCGCGAAACCUCCACAAUUCACGCAAGUGAGAUGGGGUUACCUCGAGUGCCGUCUGAAGAAGGCGGCUUUUCCAUGGUGUAACAAGCCGUGGGAAUAAGGGGGGGGCAAGACUGGUGUCAGCCGCCGCGGUAACACCAGCCCCCCGAGUGGUGGGGAUGAUUAUUUGGCCUAAAGCGUCCGUAGCCGGCUUUGUAAAUCUCUCGUUAAAUCCAGCGUCCUAAGCGUUGGGCUGCGAGAGACACUGCAGAGCUAGAGGGUGGGAGAGGUCAGCGGUAUUCCUGGGGUAGGGGCGAAAUCCAUUGAUCCCAGGAGGACCACCAGUGGCGAAGGCUGCUGUCCAGAACACGCCUGACGGUCAGGGACGAAAGCUGGGGUAGCGAAUCGGAUUAGAUACCCGAGUAGUCCCAGCCGUAAACGAUGCAGGCUAGGUGUUG